GACGAACGCUGGCGGCGUGCUUAACACAUGCAAGUCGAACGGAAAGGCCCUGCUUUUGUGGGGUGCUCGAGUGGCGAACGGGUGAGUAACACGUGAGUAACCUGCCCUUGACUUUGGGAUAACUUCAGGAAACUGGGGCUAAUACCGGAUAGGAGCUCCUGCUGCAUGGUGGGGGUUGGAAAGUUUCGGCGGUUGGGGAUGGACUCGCGGCUUAUCAGCUUGUUGGUGGGGUAGUGGCUUACCAAGGCUUUGACGGGUAGCCGGCCUGAGAGGGUGACCGGCCACAUUGGGACUGAGAGACGGCCCAGACUCCUACGGGAGGCAGCAGUGGGAAAUAUUGCACAAUGGGCGGAAGCCUGAUGCAGCAACGCCGCGUGCGGGAUGACGGCCUUCGGGUUGUAAACCGCUUUCGCCUGUGACGAAGCGUGAGUGACGGUAAUGUGUAAAGAAGCACCGGCUAACUACGUG
rnacentral:rRNA from 1 species